GCAGGCGUAGCUCAGUGGUAGAGCGCCCCCUUUCCAAGGGGGAGACGCAGUGUUCAAUUCCUGUCGCCUGCUC
rnacentral:tRNA from 1 species